rnacentral:lncRNA from 1 species
AAUCAUCUCAUCUCAGAUGCCUGGCAACAUCUAAUUCCUCAGCUCCUUUUCAGUAAUUUCAGUUCUAUUUUCUUACUCUAUCAUUCUGGUGUUUUCAUUGCAUUUUCUUAUAAAAGAGAUCCAGAUUUAUUUUGGAAAUAGAUUUGAAUGACGAAAACAUCCUAUAGAAGCAAAUCCUAAACAAAUAUAAAUAUUUGACCAUGAUUAUGCAAAGAAAGCUCCUGCUUCCUCCUCUGUGUCACAGAGACCCUCGGGAGGAACUCCAGGGAGAAUGGAAGCUUGGGAGUCAUCCCAACCCUUGCUCAGGUGCGAAAUCCCCUGCCCUCUGCCUGGCACUGAUAGGGACGGAUCAGUUUCUCUGCCUGGAGAGGCAGCCUCCUGUGACCUGGAUACAUUGGAGCCUGAACACGGGAACAGAAGGGGUCUCUGGGAAUCCAAUCUCAGUCUGUUGGGCUUACAAAGUGACCAAAGUCAAAUGCUGGUCUGUGAGAGAAAGAGGAGGCAGACACAUCGGGGGACCGAGAAAUACUUUGAAGCACCCCGCUCACCAUGGUAUGGGGAAGAAUUUGGCCACAUCCCUGCCAACUGCUGCUUCUCUUGGACUGGGAAAGGGUCAGUUGCUUGUUUCUAUCAGAUUCAUGGACACCACCAAGAAAAGAGGCCAGUCUGAGACAUUCAAUAUUUGUUGAAACACAGAGGUUUAACUGAUCAUUGAGGUACACAGGGUGAUAGGAAGAGUAUGAACUUGAGAAUCUGAUGGAUUUUGUUUAAAGUUAGGACUAGGCUACUGACUACCCACCCUGCUAAUUGUCUUGGGGAAGUUAUUUAACCUCUCUGAACCUCAGCUUCUCAUCCACAAAAUAGGACACUAGCACACAGUGGGCUAUCUAUAUAUAUUUAUUGAAUUGAAAUGGGAGUAUUCAAAAUUAUUUGGGUUGUUGGCUUAAAAUAAGCAGAAUAAUUCAAUUCCUGUUCAUCUGGAAUCUAAUUGUCCAAUUUGGAGUUUCAGAUGUAACAAAGAUCCUAAUGACCUAAUAUUAUUGGGGUAAUCCUAAAAUUUAUUAGGUGAUCUGCAAGUUCCAUGAUGAUUGUAUACUGGAGGAAAUGCACAAUGCACACAGACCUUCCUAGGAGUAAAAGACUGAUGUGAAUUUGCAGCACUACUUAAUUAUAAGUAAUUGUUGCAUGAACACACACACAAACACACACCCACAGAACUCACACUAUAAGAUAGGAGGGGCAAAUAAUGACAUUUGACAAAAAUGAGCUCUUGCAGAGCUCAACGAGUCUAAGUUUCCUCCCUAAUAUCUUAACAGGCUACAGUAUACACAGGCUUUUAAGUAAUGUACUUGUUAUCCAAACACUAGCAGACAUUUAACUGGAAUCCAGGAGCAUUUUGUCAAGAAGGAAAAGAACUAACCAAAGAAAAAGAAAAGUAGAGAGUUUCCCAGCUGUUUUACCACAUCACAACUUCAAAAAAACCAAGCCUGUCCUUGCCUUGUCCCUGAUGGCUCUGCCAGCAGAGUGAAUGAAUUGGAGCAGAUUUAGGUUUUAAAAUGCCUCCUAAUAUCAUUUGGGCAGAUUAGCUUACAUGGCUGGACAUUGUGCUCCCAGCCACAGGGAAUGUUCUUUUCCUGUUGGAAGCUCUGACAGCCACUGCCACGGUGAAAUAUCAGGAGCCUCCUAACAUUUUUCUUGAUUUCUUUAAGAGUGAACAUUAGACAUAUUAAAAACAACAACCCAAUCAUUAAGCCCUGUGAGGUUUUCCUAGGAGCCAGCUCUAUCGCUUUAAUCAGAUUACGGACAACUCAUUCUCAUCCCAGCCAUUUAUCUUCUUUGUUUACACACACACCAAGUGGCAUUCUUCUUAGCAUCAAAAAAUAGUAAUCAAAAUUGAGAACAACAAAAGACCUUUCAUUAUUUACAGUGUUAAGUAACAUCUAUUUGCCUUCAUUAGUUUCUAAACAACGAAGUACACUGGUUCUGAUUAAAGCUGGCAUGUGUUAAUUAUAUCCGAGGUCUGGGAUUGUUUUGUCUACAAUAAAGGAUUGCUGAAAGCUGAAAUUUGAGGCGCCCAGGCCCCAGAAAUCACCUGCCUCUAUGUGUUUCCUCAGUGAGAGUUUCCAGCCUGAGAAUGGCAGAAGCGGAUGUGAGCUUGUCACAGAAAGUUUUUUUUGCUUUGUUUUGUUUUGUUUGGUUUUUAAGCCCUCGGUUUUAUUGCCCAUUUUAUGGGCUGGAGUUAAAUGGAAGUACAAUGCAGUUUGCUGUCUUACUGCUCAGCACUAACAGCCAUGAUGAGCCAUAAUUAGAAGUAAAACCACCACAUAAAUAACAUGGUAGAAAAAUUGCCACAGUGAGAAGCCAGACUUUGGCGACGGGAAACUUCAGCGGGUCUUGAGUAUCCAUCAUACUUAAGGGGCACCGCGUAUUUUAGCCCAUAUUUGUCUUACUAAAGCCAAAAUGGGAGCCAUUUAGACUUUCGAACAAGCUUUUAAAAAUAGAGAAUGUAGGCUUAAACAGACUGCCUGCUGCUAAGUGUGAUGAAGAAACCUGUCACCUGGAGGCUACGACAGCUGGAAGGGCUGGGAGGGAGAGCCCUGGGAGCCCAGGGGUGAGGAAGGGAAGAUAAACAGGAGAGGAAGAGGAGGCCUGGACUCUCCACAACAGCAAGGUCUAGACAUUUCACUGCAAAGCCUAAGAGUCUGCACACCGUUGAGCACAGCAGCUUAGACUUCCGCCGGGGAACGUGUGAGGCUGGGACGCCUUGCAGAUUUUGCUUUCAUGACCUGUACUCAGCGAUGAAGUGGGAGCAGGUAGACUAGUUUUUUUUUUUUUUUUAAUGGAGUCUCAUUCUGUCACCCAGGCUGGAGUGCAGUGGCGUGAUCUCGGUUCACUGCAACCUCUGCCACCCAUGUUCAAGCGAUUCUCCUGCCUCAGCCCCCUGAGUAGCUGGGAUUACAGGUGCCUGCCACUGCGUCUGGCUAAUUUUUGUAUUUUUAGUAGAGAUGGGGUUUCACCAUCUUGGCCAGGCUGGUCUUGAACUCCUGACCUUGUGGUCCACCCGCCUCGGCCUCCCAAAAUCCUGGGAUUACAUGCAUGAGCCACGCGCCCAGCCUAGACUAGCAUUUUUGAGUACCCACUAUCUCCUUGGCAUUUUACUUCCAUUUUAAUUCUCAUAACAGCCUUAGGACGCCAAUGAAAAGGAAGAGAAAAUAAAGUGUGUUCUGUGCCUGAAAAUGGCCUUAAAGAAACAAGGACCAACAGCUGGAGCAGAGUGGGGCUGCCCAUACGCAAAGAGACAACAAGUAGGAAUUAACAUAAGGCAUAUCACGUGGAUGCCAUAGAACUAUCACAGCAAUUUCUUUUUUCCCCAAGUCAGCCUCUCUUGUACAGGGGAUUAGAAAACAAACCCAAGAGAAUAAACUUGAAAUGGAAGGAACGUGCUUUGUAGUCGAGUGUUUUUCAAAGCCUGCAUCAUUUUAAAAACUGAUUUAAGUAUAUUCAUUUGCUUUCUAAAAUAAGUCAUAUGUAUGUUUCUACUGAUCGGCCAGAAUAGUUAAGGUCUGUCUGAUCUUCAUAUGGAAUGAAAGGGGACAUUCUUUGGAUAUUCUGGAAGUCCACACGUGUUCUUUACAGAGUUUGGUUUGCUUUCUCCGUUUCUUCCUUCCUUUGCAAAAUCAAACAAACAGGAAUAAAAACCAAACCAAAACAAAAUUAAUGAAAACCCUUGUGUUGAGGACUUUGUUUUGUUUUAAAUGUGUCUGGUAUUAAGCAGUAUGUUUAGUGAAAUGACUUUAAACUUAAGUAGGAAAUACAGCUCCAUUUCACACGUGGAUUUUGUCUGCAUUUACAUCUCUGCAGGCCUCACAUGCCGUGACACCAGACAUUUUUUUAAUUAAGAUAUGAAGUGCUCAUUUUUUUUUUGUGGAACUGCUGUAUUCUAACAAAUUUACUACACGUCUCAGAAAACACAUAGCUUUGCCAAAGUUGGUGAGUAGCCCAGCAUGGUUUAUCUCCAGCCCACAGCUCUUUCCCUGAAUUCAAUACUGCAGGCACAAUUUAAUGCAAACCCAAUUUAUGACUUAAUGCUCUAGGGACCGUAGUGGGAGAUUGUUACAUUAUUCUUUUCUAAUCCUAUUUGUGUUUUAAUUUGCUAAGUCUGUAAUGAGGUGCAUGCCUUGAAUAUUCAAGAUCUUUGACAUUGCUUUUGACUUUGUUUAAUAUAAUAGAUUUUACAGUUUGCAUUAAAUACCCAGGUGCUUCGGUCAGUAUUAUCUCUUUAUUUUCUCAACUAGAGUGAAUAAAAUUACACGAUGAAAGUA